AUAGCUCUGGGGUACAGGUAAAGGUGGCGUGAGGUACCCUGAUUAUUCCACACUUAAAAAUGUCCCGGGUUUCAGACGUGGUGUGCAAUUCCCAAUGCUUCUAUCGGAAAUUGCCUGAAGCGUUUUCCGGGGAGAUGCUUUAUAAAAGAGCGUGGUCUCACAUAAACCUUUACGGCACUUUGGAGCCAGU
rnacentral:sRNA from 1 species